AAAUAAUAACGGCGACUGCUUGCGCAGCCGCCUCAUGGGAGAGGAGAAACCGGACGAAGAGCUUAUGGGGAAACGUAAGCCUUCUCCGCGG
rfam:Paenibacillus pectinilyticus strain KCTC13222 scaffold22, whole genome shotgun sequence.